AAAGGAAUAGACGGGGAGGCGCACAACCAGUGGAGCAUGUGGUUUAAUUCGAUACGAAGCGUUGGACCUCACCUGGGUUUGACAUGUACCUGCACGUCCUGUGAAAGCAGGACUUCUUCGAGAGUGGUACACAGCUGCUGCAUGGCUGUCGUCAGUUCGUGUCGUGAGACGUCCACUUAAGUGUGGUAACGAACGCAACCCGCACUCCGUGUUAUAUCUUCACGGGGAACUGCCUCGCAACAAGCGGGGAGGAAGGAGCGGAUGAUGUCAAGUCAGCAUGGUGCUUACACCCAGGGCAACACACAUCCUACAAUGGGACCGACAGAGGGUAGCCAAGCCGCGAGGCGGAGCCAAUCCCUAAACGGUUCCUCAGUUCAGAUUGCAGGCUGCAACUCGCCUGCAUGAAGUCGGAAUUGGUAGUAAUCGCGGGUCAGCAGACCGCGGUGAAUACGUUCUCGCCUCUUGUACACACCGCCCGU
rnacentral:rRNA from 1 species